CUGGGAGACCGGGAAGUUGAACGACCUGCCGUGUACAGCCACCUACCCAUUCAUCUGCCAGAAAGCUGCAGGCCAAGGUCCACCACCUGUUCCUCCCACCUCAGGACCAGGCUGGAAUGAGAAGUGUGGCUCCUGGCUAGCUGACCCCUUUAAUGACUACUGCUACCUGCUGAGCUCUCUCUCCUUACGGAAGUGGGCGGAGGCUCGUGCAGACUGCCUGAACCAGGGCGGAGACCUCGCCAGCAUCACUG